rnacentral:misc_RNA from 1 species
UAUAUUGCAGCUGGCAGAAUCAGGAUCCUUUUUUGUACAGGUUGAUUUAUUUAAAGUGCGUGGAAAGUUUGCAUUGUCAGAUGCUUAUGAAGAUCAUUUUUUACUUCCCAAAGGGAAAAUACUUGUUGUCACUCAUAGAAGAGUCAUGUUGAUGCAACAACCUUCCACCAUCAUUGCUCAGAGGAAAUUCAGCCCAGCUAAAGACCCG